GUCGAAUACCUUUUUCCAUGACAGUUGAUAGCAAGAGAAGGCCCCUGGCGUCCCCACCCCUCCCGUGCAUGAGGGUAAGUGCACGUAUAGUAUUAUCUCUUGCAUCGCGUCCAGUCACAAAUCCCACCUGGUCCGGGUACACCACGGAAGGGAUGUGCAUCUGCAGGCACGUGGCCAGGACCUUCGCCAUCAAUUUAAUAUCGUGGUUGAUAAG